GACGAACGCUGGCGGCGUGCUUAACACAUGCAAGUCGAACGGAGUGGCGAACGGGUGAGUAACACGUGGGUGAACUGCCUUGCACUUCGGGAUAAGCUGGGGAAACUGGGGCUAAUACCGGAUAGUGCAAGAUGAGCUCGCGGCCUAUCAGCUUGUUGGUGGGGUAAUGGCCUACCAAGGCGUCGACGGGUAGCCGGCCUGGGAGGGUGUACGGCCACAUUGGGACUGAGAUACGGACCAGACUCCAACGGGGGGCAGCAGGGGGGAAUAUUGCACAAUGAGCGGAAGCCUGAUGCAGCGGCGCCGGGUGGGUAAUGAAGGCCUUCGGGUUGUAAACUCCUUUCGACAGGGACGCGGUACCUGUAUAAGAAGCACCGGCUAACUACGUGCCAGCAGCCGCGGUAAUUC
rnacentral:rRNA from 1 species